UAAUAAAUACAUAAGUUAUCACCUUUUGGCAGUUAAGAGGAGUUUUCCACCUGAAUGUCAAGCAGGUAGAUAUCUAUAUUUUAUAACUCCUCUUAACUGCCAAAAGGUGAUAACUUAUUUAUUUAUUA